rnacentral:lncRNA from 1 species
CACACAUACAGACACACACACACAAUAAAUAUAUAUCUCCAGAUUGUACACAGCAUAUAUAAUGUUUAAUGAAACAUGUUAAAUAAAUAACUAUAAUGUAAUAGUUCUUAUAGGAGCUAAAUGUUAUAUAUUAAAGACUUACAUGAUGAAACUAUACAAUCCAUAUUAUCUGUCAAACAACAUGUAAAACAAACAGACCAUUUUAUGCAUUACGUAUAUGAAAUGGAAUGCCCUUCUUUUGAAAGGUCCAAGCUACUGUCCUGGAAUGCCAGCUCACCACCUGGUGCCCCCAAGGGAGGAGAGAAGCAGCCCAUGGUCCCUGGUCUCCCAAAGCUCAUGCUGCACCUCAGCCCUUGCUCCAUCCAGCCCUCUCCCUAACUGACAGAUAUCUUUGAGGAAAAGAUCCCAAAAGAUGAAUUCCUGACUGGGGUCAUGGAGUUAACAUUAUCUCUUACAGCGCCCUGCCGCGGAGAGUUAAGACAAGCCCUGUCGUCUGCGGGCUCUCACCUCAGAGUCAAUAUUAUCUCAGAUGGGCACAAUAGACUGGAAUGAAAAGCUAAUAUUGAACCAACGCGGUCCCUGCCGCGCCGCGCCGAUGCCACCCUUUGUCGCGCAGCCCCCGUAAAUCAGGAUGGGGUAUGUGGAGAGACUGACAGUUUUGAUGUGAUGAAGGAGGUAAAACUCAGUGGUCCUGCAUGUGCCUCCUGGAGCUGUGCAGAAUUCCCGAGGAAACGUUGACUCUCAACAGGAAUAUCAAGGGAGAUCCCGAGGCUCACGGCUCUCCGCUGGCAUCUGGACAGUGCCUGUCUCCUGCAGCCACCCCGGGCAGCAGAGGCCGGGACCAGCGUUGAGAUCCGCCUGCCAGGACUCGGCCCCUCGAGGUCGGCACCCAGAGCACCGCCCGAAGAGUUUGGAGAAGCGGAGUGACUGGGAAUCACAGUGAAUUACCGAACUUCCUAACUUGCCUCCCCGUCUCUGGUCACCUUUUGCCAGCCUUGGACCCGGGAGAGGGCUCACCCUUCGCCGGCAGCCGGCAGCGGCGCUUCCCGCGCGGCGCCGCUGACGCACAGUGAAGACUCAGAGCUUUGGCUGGUCCGGAGACUCCAAACCCGGGUGACCUGGGUAUGGCGCGGUGCUCAUGGGCCAGAGCGCACAAGGCUCGGGUUGCAAAUGCUGUAACUAAAAUGUGAUGAGCGCAAACAGUGUGCCAAGCUCACCUAUUCAACAACCAUUAAGAUAUUGAUAUUUCCUUUUCACGGAGGCGACAGCCAAGGCUGGAGAAAAUGGAAUCAUACAGCCCUGAACCCAGAGGACUCCUACGCACCCCCAGUCAGGGCCCACUCCAGAGCAAUGGGAGAGGGAGCGGGCCCUCGGGCGGCUGUUCCUCGGAAGUGUAAGGGCCAGACAAACUCCGAGCAGCGAGCAGCGGUUCUCAGAGCUCCCCAGGAAUCUCUGCCCUUUGUCGCUCCAGUGAGCUAGGACUCCAGGCUCCUCUCACCCUGGCACCUCCUAAAGGAACUUCAGGGCCUCUGCUGGAGCUUGGAGCAGCGUCAGACCGGCGUUAACUCAUUUGUACAACUUGAUUGUUCAGUCUUUGAAGACCAGCAUCUUGCCUUGUGUGGGUAGACAAUAACAGCCACAUCCAGGACAGGAGCUUUUACUGAAGAUCAUUAUGUGCCAGGCAUUGUCUGAACGCUUUAGUUUUUCUCAUUAAAUAAUUCCAAGGAUCGACAUACUAGUCCUUAUUCCCAUUCGAGGGAAGAAGAACAGAGGCACAGAGGGGUUAAGUAACCUGAC